rnacentral:rRNA from 1 species
UUAAGUUAGAAAGGGCGCACGGUGGAUGCCUUGGCACUAGGAGCCGAAGAAGGACGGGACUAACACCGAUAUGCUUUGGGGAGCUGUACGUAAGCGUUGAUCCAGAGAUUUCCGAAUGGGGGAACCCACUAUCUUUAGUCGGAUAGUAUCCUUACGUGAAUACAUAGCGUGAGGAAGGCAGACCCAGGGAACUGAAACAUCUAAGUACCUGGAGGAAGAGAAAGAAAAAUCGAUUUCCUGAGUAGCGGCGAGCGAAACGGAAAGAGCCCAAACCAAGAAGCUUGCUUCUUGGGGUUGUAGGACACUCUAUACGGAGUUACAAAAGAAAGUUAUAAAUGAAGCGGUCUGGAAAGGCCCGCCAAAGACGGUAACAGCCCGGUAGUUGAAAUGGCUUUCCCUCCAGAGUGGAUCCUGAGUACGGCGGAACACGUGAAAUUCCGUCGGAAUCCGGGAGGACCAUCUCCCAAGGCUAAAUACUCCCUAGUGACCGAUAGUGAACCAGUACCGUGAGGGAAAGGUGAAAAGCACCCCGGAAGGGGAGUGAAACAGUUCCUGAAACCGUGUGCCUACAAGUAGUUAGAGCCCGUUAAUGGGUGAUAGCGUGCCUUUUGUAGAAUGAACCGGCGAGUUACGAUUUGUUGCAAGGUUAAGCGGAAAAAGCGGAGCCGUAGCGAAAGCGAGUCUGAAUAGGGCGCAUAAGUAACAGGUCGUAGACCCGAAACCAGGUGAUCUACCCAUGUCCAGGAUGAAGGUAAGGUAAUACUUACUGGAGGUCCGAACCCACGCACGUUGAAAAGUGCGGGGAUGAGGUGUGGGUAGCGGAGAAAUUCCAAUCGAACUUGGAGAUAGCUGGUUCUCUCCGAAAUAGCUUUAGGGCUAGCCUCGAGGUAAAGAGUCAUGGAGGUAGAGCACUGUUUGGACUAGGGGCCCUUCUCGGGUUACCGAAUUCAGAUAAACUCCGAAUGCCAUGUACUUAUACUCGGGAGUCAGACUGCGAGUGAUAAGAUCCGUAGUCGAAAGGGAAACAGCCCAGACCACCAGUUAAGGUCCCCAAAUAUAUGUUAAGUGGAAAAGGAUGUGGGGUUGCUUAGACAACCAGGAUGUUGGCUUAGAAGCAGCCACCAUUGAAAGAGUGCGUAAUAGCUCACUGGUCGAGUGACCCCGCGCCGAAAAUGUACCGGGGCUAAACAUAUUACCGAAACUGUGGAUGAACCUCUUUAGAGGUUCGUGGUAGGAGAGCGUUCUAAGGGCGGUGAAGUCAGACCGGAAGGACUGGUGGAGCGCUUAGAAGUGAGAAUGCCGGUAUGAGUAGCGAAAGAAGGGUGAGAAUCCCUUCCACCGAAUAUCUAAGGUUUCCUGAGGAAGGCUCGUCCGCUCAGGGUUAGUCGGGACCUAAGCUGAGGCCGAUAGGCGUAGGCGAUGGACAACAGGUAGAGAUUCCUGUACCAGUGCUAAUUGUUUAACCGAUGGGGUGACACAGAAGGAUAGGGAAUCGCACGAAUGGAAAUGUGCGUCCAAGCAGUGAGUGUGAGAAGUAGGCAAAUCCGCUUCUCGCGAAGCAUGAGCUGUGAUGGGGAAGGAAAUUAAGUACGGAAGUUCCUGAUUUCACGCUGUCAAGAAAAGCCUCUAGGAAGAGUAGUACUGCCCGUACCGCAAACCGACACAGGUAGAUGAGGAGAGAAUCCUAAGGUGAGCGAGAGAACUCUCGUUAAGGAACUCGGCAAAAUGACCCCGUAACUUCGGGAGAAGGGGUGCUCUAUUAGGGUGCAAGCCCGAGAGAGCCGCAGUGAAUAGGCCCAGGCGACUGUUUAGCAAAAACACAGGUCUCUGCAAAACCGUAAGGUGACGUAUAGGGGCUGACGCCUGCCCGGUGCUGGAAGGUUAAGAGGAGUGCUUAGCUUCGGCGAAGGUACGAAUUGAAGCCCCAGUAAACGGCGGCCGUAACUAUAACGGUCCUAAGGUAGCGAAAUUCCUUGUCGGGUAAGUUCCGACCCGCACGAAAGGCGCAACGAUCUGGGCACUGUCUCAACGAGAGACUCGGUGAAAUUAUAGUACCUGUGAAGAUGCAGGUUACCCGCGACAGGACGGAAAGACCCCGUGGAGCUUUACUGCAACCUGAUAUGGAAUGUUUGUACCGCUUGUACAGGAUAGGUAGGAGCCGAAGAGACGUGUGCGCUAGCAUACGAGGAGGCAAUGGUGGGAUACUACCCUGGCUGUAUGACCAUUCUAACCCGCCACGCUUAGCGCGUGGGGAGACAGUGUCAGGUGGGCAGUUUGACUGGGGCGGUCGCCUCCUAAAGAGUAACGGAGGCGCCCAAAGGUUCCCUCAGAAUGGAUGGAAAUCAUUCGCAGAGUGUAAAG